rnacentral:lncRNA from 1 species
UGGUCACCAAACAGCAUAUGAUACCUACAUUGGUCGUAUUAGAUACCACUAGAUUUGAUCACCAAUGAUUUCUGUUGAACCAUCUGCAUGACUGCAUCCUAAUUCAAGCAUGCUUAGAUGACAUCGGCAUGGUCGGAUUGAUCGGGAUGUUGACCAAUCCUUUGAUGGUGUUGAAACUUAGAAUUUUUAUUCUUAAAAUAUUGAUGAUUAAUUUGAUAAAAA